rnacentral:sRNA from 1 species
GUUGAUUGGGAAACUCAUCAAUUUUUUAUGAAAUGCCGAGACCAUCUUGCUUUCUGAUGGCGGGCCCCAUUCACCGGCGACGGUGAAGCAGCCAUAUCCCUUCCGAGGGCGCUGCCAGGCGGAUUACAAAGGAAAGCAAGAACUCAAAUCCUGUCUUUCGGAGUUUCAUCGCAUCCUUUGAUGUGGCAUCU